ACAGCUUUGGAAUUUCGCACCCGACCCGGCGCUGCAUGUGACCGCAACGCAGUGCCGGGUGGCAGCUGCGUACCGGAAGAGAGACACGCCCGCAGCUCCGGGGUAUAUCAGGGCUCCGCCGUUGGUCCGUUCCACAGUUGGGCUGGCCUCACACUCAGUCUGCGUUGCAGGUUGCAUAGGUUCCACCAUGAUCAAGCUCACAGCUGCUCUCAUUGCUGUUCUUUUGGGUUCUGUUUUGAUGUUAGCGGUAGAGGCUGGUCGAGGCUGCGGAAGAGGUCGAGGACACGCCUUCGGCUGCCACGGGGGAGGAGAAAAAAGCAGCGAGGAGAGCGACAGUGAGGAGAGCACAACUAGCGUGGACAACUGUACCUGGAACGACGCCAAAGACUGUAAUGGAACCUGUGUGUGUCCAGAAGGCUUCACCCUCUGUGGUGGCAUUUGCUGGUGGUACAGCAACUCUACGACUGCAAACUUCACCGAAGCAGUCAGCCUGUGCUCUAGCCUAGGGGCCGAUGUGGCGCUUCCAAGCAGCGAGGAAGAAAACCAGUGUGCAGCCUGUAUGGUUCCAGAUACAUCCAGUCGCGUCUGGCUGAACCUACGCGGAAACUCGACUAUUGAUUCGUUCGUGAAUCCGGCUGGGGCCGCACCCGCCUACGCCAACUGGGCUAGCUACCACACUUACUAUGAGCUGUGUGACAAUUGCGAUGAUAGUUGUGCGUACCUCUGGCCGAGCGAUGGUCAAUGGUUUGCUGGCUAUUGUGAUGUGACAAGUCAAAUCCUUUGCCAGCGACCCUUGCAGUAAUGUUUAAGCACGAACUCGCAGUGAUGCAAAAUGCAUAUGCAGAGGUCGAAAUUUCUAUGCAGGUGGAGACCCAAUCCACAAUGAGUUCAUUACGUUGCACAUAUUGUUGUUAAAUCCUUGAAUUAUAUGCACUUCGAAAGUUCAGUUGUAGGAUAAGGAUUCUAGCCUUACCUUGGUGCUGUGCUGUUUUUUUCAACCUUGUGUGCAACAUGCUGUGCAGUGCGCGGUGCGGUAUGGAGCUGUGCAACAUGCAACAUGUUCAUGCAACACGAUUUUCUUAGAUUCUUAUUUCUUAUUUUUCACAUCUACAAAUCGAUAUAAAAAUAAAUCAAAUCUUACAACUCCGUUUGUUACAACGCUGACACUUAUGUUGCUAACCUAAGCAACAAUGGGUUCUGGCCUGCCCGUUCUGUGGGAUUGCACUCACAACCAUGUAACAAGAUGGUGAGAUAAGUCCUAAGAAUGCAAUGUUAAAUCAUUUCCAGAUUUUUUAACCGCAAGUCUGGCUACCGAAUUACAUGACACUGAUGAAAUUAAGCUCCUGUGGCUUCUGAGCCCCACAGGAAUGUUAGUACGCAGAAAUACGGGCU